CACCUGCCGGCCGCUCCCCCCCCGCUCCAGCUGGCAUCAGAGGAGCAGGCACAACAGGCUGCCAUGCUCACGGGCCAUGCCCCUGAGGUUGACCCGAGCAGCUAUGCCAGGGGACCACGGGCACCCUGCCCCGUCCCUGGGGAUGACUUUUCCUUGGUUUUCCUUGAACAAACGACAAUGUCUCUGACCUCUUUACAGGUAAGCUAGGGGCACUCUGGGGAGAGGGGAUGAAGCCACCAAUCUCACAUGGCCUUUCAAGAUAAGUAAAUGAGAUGCUGUCUGGACAGACCCAACAAGGCUGUGCACAGAAUGUGUCUGUUCCUGCCGCCCUCCCCUGGCCUGGGGGAGGGGGGGCGGUCGGGAGGGGGACAGCAGGUUAAACCCCUUGACUCCAGGUUCCUCUCUGUCAGCGUCACCGUCAAUGCCGGACACACUCCUAAACCAUCACGCCGAGACCCCAGGGACACAGCUGCUGGCAGGGGAAGCGUGGAGAGGCCAAAGACAGAAAGGACAGGGUUCAGGGGUCACCCUGCCGGGCCCCCACCUCAGGGAAGGCCCACGUGAAGCGCCUCAUGCAAAGCGGGCUCCCCCGCUUGUGAGGAAGCCAGGAGGAAAGCUCUGGAACACAGUUUCUCCCAGAAACUUGGGACUCCCGUGUACCCCACAAAGGAGGAUCAGCAACUCUUACACCUGAUGACUUCCUUCUCCUGACAGUGACGGGCCCCCUGCUUUAGGGGAGAAGUGGAGGGACCCUUAUUCCUUUCUCCAAGGCUUGAUGUAGGCCCGGGGCAGAAAAUAAAAAAUGUUUAAAAUGGAAAA